AUGGCGUCGUCGGGGCGGUGCAUGGUGGUGGUGGCGCUGUGCUUGCUCGUCUUGGUGGAUGUAUCCGUCGCCGCAUCGAGCGCAAUCAACUGCAAUCUUGGAACCGAUGGGUGCUAUGAGGCUUGUCGUGCCAAGGGCCACUGGGAAGUCACAUGUUUCGCCUGCAACUACUUUUGCCCUGCCGUCAGCACGGGCUUCAUCGGCGGCGGCGGAAGUCGCUCUGGCACCAGGGCGCCUUCUCCGACGGCGGACAACAAUUGAUCAGCCUCAAAAUGGCCAGAGAGAUGUGCACGUUGACGAACAGAGGCCCUGUAUUGCACUCUGCGUUUUCAGUCGAUCCUCCUUCCUUCCCUCUCUCUCUCUCGCUCUCGCUCUCGCUCACUCUAUCGUUGUUGAUCACGUAAUGUGCGAGUGUGCACGCCUUUGAUCCUAUCUAAUAAAUAUCAAGAUUUGUUGA